AGUGAACGCUGGCGGUAGGCCUAACACAUGCAAGUCGAACGGCAGCACAGUAAGAGCUUGCUCUUACGGGUGGCGAGUGGCGGACGGGUGAGGAAUACAUCGGAAUCUACUUUUUCGUGGGGGAUAACGUAGGGAAACUUACGCUAAUACCGCAUACGACCUACGGGUGAAAGCAGGGGAUCUUCGGACCUUGCGCGAUUGAAUGAGCCGAUGUCGGAUUAGCUAGUUGGCGGGGUAAAGGCCCACCAAGGCGACGAUCCGUAGCUGGUCUGAGAGGAUGAUCAGCCACACUGGAGCUGAGACACGGUCCAGACUCCUACGGGAGGCAGCAGUGGGGAAUAUUGGACAAUGGGCGCAAGCCUGAUCCAGCCAUACCGCGUGGGUGAAGAAGGCCUGCGGGUUGUAAAGCCCUUUUGUUGGGAAAGAAAAGCAGCAGGUUAAUACCCCGCUGUUCUGACGGUACCCAAAGAAUAAGCACCGGCUAACUUCGU
rnacentral:rRNA from 1 species